rnacentral:rRNA from 1 species
GAGGGGCGGACGGGAGAGAAACGCGCGGGUUUCCUGCCUUGUACAGGGGGAUAACAGUUGGAAACGGCUGCUAAUACCGCAUAAGCGCACAGCAUCGCAUGAUGCUGUGUGAAAAACUCCGGUGGUAUAAGAUGGACCCGCGUUGGAUUAGCUAGUUGGUGAGGUAACGGCCCACCAAGGCGACGAUCCAUAGCCGACCUGAGAGGGUGACCGGCCACAUUGGGACUGAGACACGGCCCAAACUCCUACGGGAGGCAGCAGUGGGGAAUAUUGCACAAUGGGCGAAAGCCCGAUGCAGCGACGCCGCGUGAGCGAAGAAGUAUUUCGGUAUGUAAAGCUCUAUCAGCAGGGAAGAUAAUGACGGUACCUGACUAAGAAGCACCGGCUAAAUACGUGCCAGCAGCCGCGGUAAUACGUAUGGUGCAAGCGUUAUCCGGAUUUACUGGGUGUAAAGGGAGCGCAGGCGGUGCGGCAAGUCUGAUGUGAAAGCCCGGGGCUCAACCCCAGUACUGCAUUGGAAACUGUCGUACUAGAGUGUCGGAGGGGUAAGCGGAAUUCCUAGUGUAGCGGCGAAAUGCGUACAUAUUAGGAGGAACACCAGUGGCGAAGGCGGCUUACUGGACGAUAACUGACGCUGAUGCUCGAAAGC